CGUCCAAAUCAAAUCCCCAAUUAUUUUGAAUUCCUAGAUUAAUUGGAAAGUGUGUUGGUUUACGUUUUUAAGUGUUUUGGUACAAGUUAAAACCCAAAUUCGUCCAAUUUGAUGCUUUGUGUUCAAAACUGCCCAGAAAAUGUUUUUAAGGCAGUUUUGAAUCUUUUGAUUGCUGUUUUGAGUUUUUGGUUUGUUUUAGUAUUUUAAACGUGAGUUUUGCAUUCUUUGAGUCUAAUCUAGUGCUU
rnacentral:lncRNA from 1 species